ensembl:lncRNA
GUGAGAUAUCUACCCUGUUACUGUAUUACAUAGUGAAGGAAGACCCAGGGCUUUACUUGUUGUGAAGGAUAUGUUUUGCAGUCUGUUCCUCCAAGGCUUUGGUAAAAGAAAGGGGGAAAAACUAUAUUGUUUACCUGGAGUGGUAUGAGGAAAUAUGAAUUCUGAAAGGCUCUAGGUGGGUCACAGUCAUCGAGUCACAUUCCAUACAAGUCUUCAGAUCUGUCUGAUAAUUAAUGUACAAUGAGGUACUCGUUUGAUCUGCAGUAUCCAGGUUAUGACCACGACACCCCCCUCACCUGCAUGGAACAACCCGGAACCUUCGAACCCAACAACGAUCAGGAGAUCUGGGAGUCUGAGAGAGAGGGUGGUGAUGAGGAUCCCCAUGCUAUGAGCCCUGUAGCUAACGGCUCAGCUAUGGGGGCUGGAGAGACUGGCUCUACAGGGGAGAACGAAGGAGAGAAGCAGGCUCAUGGUGAUAGUGACGGAGACAGCUUCAACAACUUCUGUGCCAGUGAUGUCACUCCGCCCAUAAAAAGGGUUGGCUUUAGCCUGGACCUCGACCUGAGUGACAAGGUGUUACUCGGCUCCAGCCCUGACCUUUGACCCUUGAGUGACAGGGUGUUACUCGGCUCCGGCCCUGACCUUCGACCCUGUAUGUCCAGAUAACGUCUUCACUGAGAUCAAGAUGUACAUAGCACCUUUUAUUUGAUCUAUAAAAUGUCAGAAUGUACACGGCUCCAGAUCAGUGUUUACUUUCUGAUACUGUAAUUCAUUUUAAUAAUGUUUUGAGCGUGACCAAGAGAGCGAUGUCACGUGGUUUUAGAAUGAAAAAAAUGUACUUCACAGAGGACUUGAC